rnacentral:rRNA from 1 species
CAGGCCUAACACAUGCAAGUCGAGCGGAGAUGAGGUGCUUGCACCUUAUCUUAGCGGCGGACGGGUGAGUAAUACUUAGGAAUCUGCCUAUUAGUGGGGGACAACAUUUCGAAAGGGAUGCUAAUACCGCAUACGCCCUACGGGGGAAAGCAGGGGAUCAUUUGACCUUGCGCUAAUAGAUGAGCCUAAGUCGGAUUAGCUAGUUGGUGGGGUAAAGGCCUACCAAGGCGACGAUCUGUAGCGGGUCUGAGAGGAUGAUCCGCCACACUGGGACUGAGACACGGCCCAGACUCCUACGGGAGGCAGCAGUGGGGAAUAUUGGACAAUGGGGGGAACCCUGAUCCAGCCAUGCCGCGUGUGUGAAGAAGGCCUUUUGGUUGUAAAGCACUUUAAGCGAGGAGGAGGCUACUGGUAUUAAUACUACUGGAUAGUGGACGUUACUCGCAGAAUAAGCACCGGCUAACUCUGUGCCAGCAGCCGCGGUAAU